GGCGCCCGGUCUGGGAGGGAGCCCGAGGGUAAAGGGAAUGGGGCAAGGGAGGGAGCAGGGAAGGCUCGUAACGCUGCAGGUGGGCUGUGUAGGGAUGGGGCGGCUUUGGGAAGGGUCGUGAGGGGCAGCUGAGGUGCCUCGGUGUGCUCAGCCCCGAGCAGGGCAGGCUGAGGGAACGCCUCAUGGCGGCCUGCAGCUCCCUCACGAGGGGAGCGGAGGGGCAGGCGCUGAGCUCUGCUCUCUGGGGACAGCGACAGGACCCGAGGGAACGGCAUGGAGCUGGGACAGGGCAGGGUCAGGCUGGGGGUUAGGGAAAGGGUCUGCACCCAGAGGGUGCUCUGGCAAUGGGACAGGCUGCCCAGGUCAGUGGUCAGGGCACCAAACCUGGUGGAGUUCAAGAAGCGCUUGGACAACGCUCUCAGACAUCCAGGGUUUUAUUUUUGGCUGGUCCUGCAUGGAGCCAGGAGUUGGACUCAGUGAUCCUUGUGGGUCCCUUCCAGGAGAGGAUAUUUUAUAAUGUCGUGAUUCUGGGCUGGGGCAUAGUGAGGCUUUUCCAGCCAGAUGGCUGUGUGCGGGAGAGAGGGCAGGAACUGAGGGCAGAAACUUAAGAAGGUUAAAACUUGCCCGAACUGAUCCGUUUGUGUGUGAGGGCAUGAGGGACUGAGCCAGAAAGAAGGUAUGGACUGUCCUGAAGGGAAAAUAGACCUCAUUGGGGUGUCACAGCAUGUGGGGCGCUCAGACAGCAAAGGUGGCUCCAUGGCUGGCGAGGGCAGAAGGUGGCACCAGCAGGACACAGAAAUUCCCCCAGGAGAGGUGGCAGUGGCCUGCCAGGGCUGUGGGCACAAUUUGUCAUCAAAGGGGCCACCUCGUGUCUUGUUUUGGGAUUAGGUAGACAUUGAGCUAGCACAAGCGUGGUAAAGAAGAAGCUGGAACGGCUUAGUGAGCUGGGAGGGUGCCGGAGAUGGAAUAAAGAAGGACACUGUGAGCAUAUUUGUGUUGGAGGUUAAACUGAACGGGUUCAAGGCACGGCAGACAGAUGAUGGAGUCUGAGUGCGUUGGAGGGGAUGGAUAGAGAAGGUUCUGGAACAUUUCAAGCUCUAAGUGGAGCCAGAGGCUGUCUGCAGAAAAGUGGCUUUGGAUCCUCAGCGUGCAUGAAGAUGAAGGUCAGAUUUAGCAGGAGCGUGGGAAGGAGGCUAGAAUUGCAGCAGGGCAUUUUACAGAUGGUGUAUCCCUGAUCCUUUUUCUUCUCUCAGGACCAUAGGUAUUACAGGCUUAUCUCACACAGUAUCCUACCUUUCUAUCUCAAGAGCUAAGAAAAAAAAAAAAAGUGACAAAAAGAAGUGGUAGUAUCAUUUUUCUUUGACAGGAACCUGCUGCUGUGUGAUGUUGAGAGGCAGAAGAUGUUCAGUACUUUUCUCGCAUCCUUUUCUUUUGUAUUUACUGGUAAAAAAGACUAAGUUCCAGCAUCCUUGCGCAUGUUCUCAUUACCACAAAUAAUGAGACUUUUCAUCAAAAAGUGAUAGAGAAAAAACUGUUCUUACUUCUUGGAGAAAAUAGAGAUAGCACAGAGGUGGUGUGGCACUGCAGUACUUCUGCUUCGUCCAGCAACAGGGAACAAGGGUCUGUCUAAUAGCUAAUAUAGAUGGUUUCAAAUAUUCAACAGAAUUAGCCUCUUUCUUAAUCAAUCCCACUCUUCUGAUAGGUUUUCUUUAUUGGUUCUGUUCUGUUUUACCUUGAUGGGAGCAAUGCAUUCUUUAUGCCUUGCUAAUUUGCAGUGCAUUUCAUCAAUGGGAAUCAAUUAGGAUUGUAAUAACGCAUGCGUGCAUCUGUGUAGGUACAGUAGAGACCAAAGGUUGGGGCAUAUUAUUAUCCAGUUUUCAUAGCAAACUUGACAGAGAAGAAUCUUUACAUGUAACAUAUAUAGAAAAUAUCUACAAUGCUGUCUUGUAUGCCCCUAUAUGAGUAUAUAUUUCUGGUUGCAUGCUUUUUUCCUACCAACUUCUUUGGCUACUGCCAUAAAACCCUACAACCCUCUUACAAAUACUGUCAUGCCACAGCUGUUCUCAAAAGCAAGGUACCUGCCAAAUAAAGCUUGUUGGCUACUUUGAUUCUGAGGGGAACUAUGGCAAGUCACAUGAAAACUACAAAUCAGUUGGUUUUGAUGGGACUAUUCACAUACUUGAACUGCUUAGAGCUGGGCUUCAGCUGUGGGUUUUCCGAAGAUGCACCUCCAUUAGCCUAUUUGGUGUCUAUGUAUUUACAAUUUGCUAAUAAUAUGACCCUCAACAGUAGGUAAAAAUUAGGCAAAGUGGAGCUGAAAAGAGUCUGCCAAGUCAGAUCAAGGUCUGUGGGCAAGUCCUAAACCUUUGCCGCUUUACCUGUCCUAAGCAGUACACUUAAUUUUCUGGAAACUUGGAAGCUGAUAGCUACAAAAGAGUUUAGGCUGAUGUUCUAAUAUGUCUACUUGUAUAUGUGGACUACUCUGUUGGUACAGUUCAAAAUAUACAGGAAUUAAGCAGUGUCAGCCCUGUGAGAUAAUAUUGCCAUGUAUCCCUGAGCAGAUUUAGACAGUGACAUUAUUAUUGCUUUAAGAAGUACGUGAGAGAUUUGAAAGCAUAGCAAGGUGCCUGUAAAAUGCCUGUUAUAGCAUCUGAUCAUUCUAACCUGGAUGGCUUAGUUACGACGAAAUCAAUCCCGGUUAUUGCAGGCUAGAUUUUCCCUGACCUUUGAGCUUCAUUUUACUUAGGGAAUGUAUGAGAAUUGUUCUGAUAGUUUUAAUGCAAUAACUCUUUUCUUAUUUGGACUUAUUUUUGUUUUGCCUUUUUUUUUUUUUGGAAAGGAAGAAACAUUCAUUAUAUGUUUCCUUCUAACUUUCUAUUUUGACUAUCAACAUUUACAGCUCGUAGGGUGGUUUCAUCUGUGCCAUCUGUGUGCCAUAUUGCACAUCAGAUGGCAGGAUAAAAUCUGUAGCAAGAACAUUUUGGGACAUAAAAGUCUUUCAGGGUUUGAAGCCACGAUACUCACGGCACAAACGUGUGGAGCCGCUCAUGUAACUGAAACAGAAGACACAGAAUGCCAAAGCAGCUGCAGAGUGAAAGAAAGGGGAGACCACACAGUUUGGGCAGCACACAGGCCACGAGAACAAAAGAACGUUUGAGGGAAGAAGAAAGUGCGACUUCGGGCAGCGAGAAACCAGAGUCAAUCAUCAGGAAUUACUGACAGCAGACAUGCACUCACGCGGCGAUUAGGGGCUCGCUUUGGGAAGCCGUGUCAGUUAACACCGAGUUGCGAAGAGCUGAUGGCAAACUUAGCUUUGUCUUCCUUUGUUGGGGCUAAAGCAAAUCCCACCACCCUGAUGGGUAAUUCUGAUAUGAGCCUUGCUGACAACCGUACCCCAUCUAACAUGCAAGGCCCAGCGGGAUGCCAUUUCCUUUGCUAAGAAGCAUGCCCUGAACAGCAGACUGUGCCAGUAAGAGGCAAAAGGCACCGAAGCUCUGCUUUGAACAGGAGGAACUUCUGGCAUCUGCACGAGAGAGUCUACGGUGAAAAUAUCUGGUCAGGGCUGGCUUCAUCCCAUUCUAAACCGAACACCUUCAGAAGGCAACCUGAAUCUCCCCUCAUCGACUUUGAAGGAGCUUAGAAACCUAGACCACCGGGGAAAGCACCGAGAGAGAGAGCAGGCUCCACGGCAGAAACCAAACCUUGCAGCACGCUUCUUCCACCGAGCAGCUCCUCAGGCUGGCACCGCAGAGGGGCCGCUUCACCGGGGGGCUCCUGCCCACGAUGCUCCCCAGGGCAAGGCAAAUCCACAGCCCCGUGGAUGAAACUGAAGGAAACGCUUUCAGUAAUGAGCCGGGUUAAUGGAUAGCGAAGAUGGCGGUGGUAGGGAGAACGGGCCUUUGGAAGUCAAAGUCAUUCAUCUCAGUGACGAUUCUUCUUCCUGUGUUCUAGGAGUUUCUGCGUGAGACUCCCUGAAACAUUCACUGUCGGAAACCAUUUUCUCUUGCUGGUUUCUCCAGGAAAGGGUCAAGGCAGGCUGCCAGUAGGACGACUGGACAACAUCACUGCUUUAAAGACCUGUGGGCUCUCACUGACACUGCAGCAGUAAUGGGUGGUGGAGCAUUAGGAGAAACUACACUGCAAAAGCAGGAUGAAAUUUCCAGAGCAGAUUUAAUUGGGAAGAGGGUUAGGAAGGUUUUGUAAGGCAGAGGGAGCAAAACCUGAUUUCUCCUAACCACUCUCCCAGCUCCAGGAUCUGGACUAAAUGACUCCUACUCAUGUCUGACAUCAUAUCUCCACCCCGAAGCUGAAGGAAUAAAUGCCUGCAAACACAGUUUAUGUUACUAAGUGGCAAGAAUCUGCGUUUCUUUUUCUGUGUUGUAGGGUCCUGCCUCCCCCCACACCUCACUUUUUUCUCCUCAAUAAACAGUCUAGGACGUCCAGUUCCUUGUGCCCCAGUCAUUCAAGCACUGCAUUUAAGCUGCAGAGCCAGACCCUGACACACUGGAAAAGAGCAAAUUUUGGAUUCUUGGUGUAAUCCUUUUUUGUCCCUCCCCACACGCGUAUGUUUUCUUACAAACUCCCCCAUGACACAGUCGUACUGCAGACUUUCCCACAGGAUGCAUGCCUCAUGCUGUACAACACAGGAUAAUCACACCCAGUGGCAGAAAUAAAUUAGCAUAGCAAUCUUAAUCUGGUAUUUCCUAAUUUUCCUAAUUUCCUUAUCCUUCAAUGCUCAGCUGUGCUAAUCUAAACAAUAUUCUUCAAUGUAAUUUUUGUAUGUUAUCGUUUAAAUAUAUGUAUACGUGUUGGUGUAUCGCUCCAUCUAUCCGUAUCUCUUCAUGUAUUGGUAAACACAAAAGAAACAGAUAAAAGCUGUUUGUUUUUAA